rnacentral:rRNA from 1 species
GACGAACGCUGGCGGCGUGCUUAACACAUGCAAGUCGAACGGAAAGGCCCUGCUUUUGUGGGGUGCUCGAGUGGCGAACGGGUGAGUAACACGUGAGUAACCUGCCCUUGACUUUGGGAUAACUUCAGGAAACUGGGGCUAAUACAGGAUAGGAGCUCCUGCUGCAUGGUGGGGGUUGGAAAGUUUCGGUGGUUGGGGAUGGACACGCGGCCUAUCAGCUUGUUGGUGGGGUAGUGGCUUACCAAGGCGUUGACGGGUAGCCGGCCUGAGAGGGUGACAGGCCACAUUGGGACUGGGAUGCGGCCAGGACUGCUACGGGAGGCAGCGGUGGGGAACAGUGCGAGAUGGGCGGAGGCCUGGUGGAGCAACGCCGCGUGGGGGAUGACGGCUGUCGGGUUGGAAACCGCGUGCGCCUGUGACGAAGCGUGAGUGACGGUAAUGGGUAAAGAAGCACCGGCUAACUACGUG